UAAGGAAUAUUGCUCAAUGGGAGAAAUCCUGAAGCAGCAACGCCGCGUGGAGGAUGAAGGGUCUAUGACUUGUAAACUCCUGUAAAGAAGGAAAAAAUUCCCAUUUGAUGGGAGAUGAUGGUACUUCUGGAGUAAGCCCCGGCUAACUACGUGCCAGCAGCCGCGGUAAUACGUAGGGGGCAAGCGUUGUCCGGAUUUACUGGGUGUAAAGGGUGCUCAGGCGGAUUUGUAAGUCAGAGGUGAAAUCUUACAGCUUAACUGUGAAACUGCCUCUGAUACUGCAAGCCUAGAGUAUGGAAGAGAGUGAUGGAAUAUCUGGUGUUGCAGUGAAAUGCGUAGAUAUCAGAUAGAACACCAAUGGCGAAGGCAGUCACUUGGUCCAUUACUGACGCUAAAGCACGAAAGCGUGGGUAGCAAACA
rnacentral:rRNA from 1 species